GUGUUGUUCGGCAAUUUUAGCCGAAAUCGGAGAUUUUUGAUAUGUGGGUUACUUUAUGGGCCGGUAGUACGGUAAUCGUGGGAUUAUGCAACACGAACCCAGUUCAUCAAGCGUGACUUUAAUCUGUCAUUACACUGGAAUAGUAGUAGAUUUGCAUUUAUUUGUCAUUCGGCGAAGCUAGAAAACAUGUCUUUUUGUGGAUCUAAAAACAGAGCAAGAAGUGUUGCGGAGGGGGUGGUGAAAAACGAAUGUUUUGUGGAUGUUCUAAAUAUUGUGCCACAUGCAAUUUUUGUGCUUGUUAGUUUAUUUAUUUUGAUUGUAUGGUGUAAAUCAAAGUACUACAAUGCUACAUCAUGGGUACACUUCAGAGGCCACAAUGUACGGUGGUUCUUCUCACUGGUUCUGAUCGUCAUCAUUGUCACUGAAAUAGCAGAGGGGUUUAUGUCUGAUGCCCGAGAUCCUGACACCGUGAAUUACCAUGUCUUUAUUCCACCUAUCAUCGCCCUUGUAGCAACUAUUUUGAGUCUGGUAUUCUAUCACAACAUCGAACAGUGGAAUUCACCAAGAUUUUUACUUAUAAUCUUGGCAUACUGGAUGUCAGUGUUACCAAUAAAAAUCCUGAAGGGUGUUUCAUUGUACAAAAAUGGUACAUCUAUUGUCCAUGUGCGAGUGUGGUUGACCUGGAUUGAUGUGGCGCUGUAUAUGAUUUUACUGACAGUUGAGAUCAAUUUGCUAAGGGUUCAGAAAUAUGCCUUCUUCAAAAAUCCAGUUCCAACAAAAAUCCCACCUGAACUUGGAGGGAGUAAAUUUGUGUUCAAGCAUGUGAACUUCCUGUCCAAAGUCACAUUCUGGUGGCUGAAUGGAUUCCUUGCAGAUGGUUACAAAACUCCUUAUGAACAGGAACAUCUUGGGCAAUUGCCAAAGGAUAUUCAAACGGAGUCUGUAUAUAAAAGAUUUAAGGCUGUAUUUGAAGAUGAAUUGGAGAAGUGUAAGAGGAGUGGUAAGAAGCUCAAUUUCCACAAAGUGUACCUGAAGGUGUUUUGGAGGAACCUCUGCUUGGCGGGAAUUUUGAGGUUUUUUGGGGACAUAGUGCAGUUUGUGGGGCCAUGGUGUAUUGAACUGAUCAUCAAUUACGCCUACGCCCAAGUCAAGCUCCGAGAAAGUACCAACCCGACCAAUGGCAGCCUGACAUAUUCUGGCGUUUCAAAUGUUUCCCAAGCUGUAGUCGUAUACAACUCGUCUUCUGCGGUAUCCCUUGGCAAUUUUUCUGUUACCAUGGCAACACCACAAAAUACGGACAUUCACAAUUAUGUAACUGCCGGUGAAUUCUUUUCUAAUGGAUUCAUUUUGGCGGGUGUACUCCUCGUCCUCACCCUCCUGCAGAACAGCCUGUGGCAGCAACACCACCACCUCGUCAUUGUGGAGGCCGCCAAGUUUAGGGUCACAAUCCAGGCGAUGGUGUACAACAAGGGUCUUCACAUUUCCGGACUGGUCAUUAAUUCUGGGAAGAUGACGAUGGGUCAGAUCCUGAAUCAUAUGUCCCAGGAUGCAACCAAUAUGAUGCUUCUCUUUUUCUUUAUUCAUUACGUGUGGAGUGUGCCAUUGACGGUUAUUAUAGGGCUGGUACUGAUGUACAUGAAGAUGGGUUGGACUGCUCUGAUUGGUGGAUCAGUGGUGGUAAUGUCCGGCCCCCUUCAGUACUUCGUAGGAAAGGGCAUGUCCAACAUGCAGAAAAAAGUCAUGGCACAAUCUGAUAAGAGGGUGAAGAAAUGCAAUGAAGCAAUCCAGGGCAUCAAAGUCAUCAAACUGUUGGCGUGGGAGUACUUCUUUAGACAGGAUAUCGAAGCUUCAAGGAAGAUGGAGUUGAAACGCCUCUUCGCCAACUGUAUUUUCAGAAUACUUUUCACAUUCAUUUUGAUUGCGGUGCCUACCAUUGGAACUGUUGUGACUUUUGUUUUGUACCCAUCCUUAGAGGAGAGUCCAUUAAAUGUAGGGAAAGCAUUGUCCACUCUGGCCCUAUUUAACAUUCUGACCAUUCCUAUGGCUCUGUUCACAUACUUCAUUACCACCUUCAUCACUGCAAGGGUCAGCAUGAAACGUCUGGUGAACUUCCUGUUGGCAGAGGAAAACGAAGGCUUAGCUGACCAACCCAAGACUUUGACUCAUAGCAUUGGGAUUGAUACUGAGGAUAUAAAAAUGGACACCAUAGUGGAAUAUCGUAAUGGAACCAAAAAGACAUCCACUAGUCUGCAAAAGGACGAUGACCUGAGCAGCAGUCAGAGCUCUCUGGGGAGUAAUCUGUCACGGACGCCUGACCACAGCCGACACAACAGUAAAGGGUCCCUGCCGGAGAUGAUGGAGGGAAGCAGGCGAUCUAGUUCCCAGACGGCCUACACAGGGGCAGCUCUGACUGUGAAUGAUGGAAAGGACUCUCAGCGACGUCGUCACACAAGUGGUGUGUCCACGGAGGACGAGGAGGAAGUGGCAGAAAAUGUUACGGUAAUGGAGGCGAAGAACGUGUUUGAGAUCUGUGAUGGAGAAUUCUCCUGGCAUUUGAACAAAGAGGAUGAAUCAGCCUUGAAAAACAUCAAUGUCAAAAUUCCUGUAGGGAAACUUACCAUGAUUGUUGGUCAAGUUGGUGCUGGAAAAACAUCUCUGGUGUCAGCCAUACUAGGAGAAAUGACCACAAUUAGCGGACAUGUUGAAAUCACCAAGGGUGUAAGAAUCGCCUUUGUACCCCAGAAACCAUGGUUACUGAAUGCAACGCUGAAGGAUAACAUUUUGUUUGGAGAACCCUACAAUCAUAGGAGGUACACAAAGGUCAUUCAUUCUUGUGCCCUUCAGCCAGACAUUGCAACCCUCCCUGCUGGGGACCAAACAGAAAUCGGAGAGAAGGGGAUCAAUCUGAGCGGCGGACAGAAACAGAGGAUCAGCAUUGCCCGAGCAUUAUACUCCAAGGCAGACACUGUCAUUCUGGAUGAUCCAUUGUCUGCCCUGGAUGCUCAUGUUGGAAAGCACGUGUUUGAGGACGCCAUUGUCAAGUGCUUGGUCAGGCGUAAACGAUCGGUCAUCCUUGUCACUCAUCAAUUACAGUACAUCAGUCACUCUAAUUAUUUGAUUGCUAUGAAGGAUGGGAUGGUACAAUACCAGGGGAAGCUGAGCGAGGUGAAGAAGCAGGAACCUGAGUUGUACGAAUCCUGGAGGAAGGCACUGAGGGAGGCCAAGGCCUCAGAGUCAAGUCGAGAUCAUCAUGAGGAACCAAGGUCACCGGACCGUAGCAGUCCAUUUGACUACAGCAGACAGAUAUCAACACAGUCAAUUUUGUCCGGAGGCAGCCAACUGUUCAGCCGACAAAUGUCCGAAAUGUCUAACAUGGAGGAGGAGUGUCUGGACUUCUCGGAGAAAGACCCAUUGAAACAAGAUGACAAGAAAAUCGAUGGAGAAUUGGUUAAGAAAGAACACAAGGAAGUAGGCGCAGUGUCCCUCCGUGUAUAUGGCCAGUAUGUGGCAGCCUGCGGUGGGCUGUUCAUAUGCUUCAUGAUGAUGUUACAGGUCGGCUACCAUGUGCUGCUGGCGUGGAGCAACAUCGUUCUGUCCCAGUGGGCAGAAGACUCCACAGAGUUCCAGACCAAGUUAUCCAAUCUAAGCAAUGUAGGCUCAGCAAACGAGACCAGUAAUGUUACACUGAAAUUUGAUAAUGACAUUUACAUGCAUAAGUACCUACUAUUGAACAUCGUGGGAUUGCUAGGGGCCUUCAUUGCUAACCUGGUACUGUACUUGACUACACUCCGAGCUUCCAAGAAUCUCCAUUUCCGUCUUCUCGACACCAUUCUGCAUGUUCCCAUCAGGUUUUUUGACACGAAUCCCAGUGGUCGAAUCAUGAAUAGAUUUUCUGCAGAUGUGGCAGGAAUAGACCAGAGACUGCCCUUUAUAUUGGAGAGUUUUAUUCGUUGUGUUAUGGUGACUGUGUCGGCUUUGGCGGUUAACGCUAUCGGAACUCCAUACUUCCUAAUAGCUGUUUUACCUCUGACUAUUCUGUAUUACUGCUUGCAGUUCUUCUUCAGGGCCACAGCAAGAGAACUACAGAGGAUAGAAAGCGUGACCAAGUCUCCUGUUUUCUCGCAUUUAUCUGAAACACUCAGCGGCUUACAGACCAUAAGAGCUUUCAGAGCUGAGAAGAGAUUUAAGAAGAGGGCCUUCACACUUAUUGACAACAACAAUAUACCCUAUAUUUUCGUCAUGUCUAUAAAUAGAUGGCUUGGAAUACGACUGGAUUACAUAGGAUCUCUCUUGGUGUUUAUAUCAGCUGUGUCCAGUCUGGCGACCUGUCUGGCCGGACAUACCACCCCAGCCUACGUGGGACUCUCCCUGACAUAUGCAUUGCAGGUUUCUAUUUAUUUAAACUGGAUUGUACGUAACGCUGCAGAGAUGGAGCUGACAAUGAAUUCGGUGGAGAGGGUCGACGAAUUCAUCCAUUUGAAACGUGAGGUGAACACGCACCAUAAAGGUCACCACGAACUGGAGAAAGACUGGCCAAAUCACGGGAAAAUCGAAUUUAAAAAUGUCAGCUUAAAAUACGACACACAUCUUGACAAGGUGCUAAAUGAUGCAUGCUUUACAAUCAACCCCGGGGAAAAGGUCAGUAAUAGUGAACAGUCACAAUCUCUCACAAAGUCACUUCAAUCUGGAUUUCAAAAUAGUGUAUGAGGAUGUUUUUUUAAGUUAUGUUCCAAAAAAAAAAAGAAAGAAAAAUAUUUACUGGUAAUAUACAAGCUGUUGGUUAAUUGUUGGAAUUUUAUGUGAGUACAGGGAGACAAAUACGAACAGGGUCUCUGAUGUUUAAAAGGUAUGGCAUUCAUAUUUCAAGGGUUUUAUUUUUCUCCAAUCUUUCCCAAUUUUAACGUUGCUGUUGGUUGAGGUCAGUUUUACUUUGAUAUUUUAUAUAUUUAUUUAACCCCUCCCCCUCUUAAUUUUUUAAUAAAAUGAGGGAAACAGUGUAUUAUAUUUUACGAUUUAGGAGGUUCCCAGUUGCAUGAAGGAAAAUUGAUGGAGGACAGUGUAUAUGAUUUAGCGUAUUACAUUUGAUUCUUUAACAGGGUAUUGUUUUGUUUUUUAUGUAAUGAGUAUUUAUUUCAAAAUACAGUGAGUAACUAAGUACCUUAAUUAUAAAAUUUUGUUGUAAUGUGAAAUCUAAAUAAAAUUAUUUUUUCAAGAUAAUUAUCUGUGAAUAAAAUACAUGUAAUACCCAUUCAUAAGAUAAUGGGAAGAUUUUGAAGAUAUACCUAUUAGAUAUUUAUGUAUUGGGAACUAAAGGCACCACAACAUGUCAUUAAAAAAUAAUGAGGAGAAAACUCUUCAAAUACAUACAGUGCCAAUGCUAAACGAAAUUUGCUGUGUUCCCUAAUCAUUUUUAAUUGGGCCAUGAUGACAACCAGGGCACUUGCUGGAUCCAGGCAUGGCUUCAGGAGAUAGCCCCCCUCCCCCCCACCUGAAAUCAUAGUUUAUCAAUAAAAGUUUGAUCUAUUCAGAUUUUUUAGUUCUAUGCCAUCAUUUCUCCUAAAAUUUGCAAGGUCGCCUUUUUACAAGAAUAAGGUUUUCAUGAAUGAUAUUGUGUAUAUAGUAAUAAACGAAUUCAUUAUUUAUGGAAAUUAUGUUUAAGAUAAAUCUGACAAAGUAACACAGUGUUGAUAAAGUCCUAUAAAACAUGCGUGACCAACAGUGUUUACGACUUUGUCAGUACUAAAUGUUAACCUGAACAUGUAUAUCAUUGGCAAUAAUUAUGUGUAAUGCCAUUUUGUAUAUGUGUGGAUAUCUGUAAACAGACAUUGUGUUUUUAUUUCUUCUCUUCACAGUUCUGCACAUUUUUUAUAUUAAUUAUAAUUUUUUCCCCAUAAAAUAAGUUCGAGAUGCAUCAGAGUAAUUUCUUUGACAAGAAUUGUUUACUCGGUAAGGCAUAAAAAAGAAUUUGUUUACUCGCAGGGUUUUACAAAUGUCGAUAAUUGUCUACUCAGCACAGACAGAAUUUGUUUACACGCAGGGUUUUACAGAUGUCGAUAAUUGUCUACUCAGCACAGACAGAAUUUGUUUACUCGCAGGGUUUUACAGAUGUCGAUAAUUGUCUACUCAGCACAGACAGAAUUUGUUUACACGCAGGGUUUUACAGAUGUCGAUAAUUGUCUACUCAGCACAGACAGAAUUUGUUUAUUUGCAGGGUUUGAAAUGAAUGCCCAUGACUACAUUGGAUAAAUAAACUAUGUUAAUUGUACAAAGUAUAAUCACUGACUUCAGAUGAUACAAAAACAAAGCAUGAGAACUGAAGUCCGAGAGUAAAAGUAACAUAAAAGAAAUGCUUUUGAUAUCUUAUCAUAAUUAGGUUUAUUUUUCUUCUUAUUUUGCUGCUUAUUCAUACUAAAAGUAAGGUAUUAACAACAAAUAUGACAUUGUUUUCAUAUCUUUUUAUCAGAUAUUUUAUCGAUAUUCUAUUCUUAUGCCCCCGAGAUCGAAGAUCGGGGGCAUAUUGCUUUUGUCCUGUCUGUAAUUCUGUCAUCCUGUCUGAAACUGAACAGUAAGUGCUAGAGCUUUGAUAUUUCACAUGAGUAUUGACCUUUCCAUGGGUACUAUAGCUUUUGACCUUGACAUUUGACCUACUUUUAAAAAAUUGGCAUUGGUCAUAACUUCUAAAUGGUAAAUAUUAGAGCUUUCAUAUUGCAAUUUGAUAAAAAGUUCUUUUUUGCAUAGGUUGGAAUCUGUGGGCGAACAGGAAGUGGAAAAUCAUCCUUAACUUUGAGUUUGUUCCGUAUGAUUGACAUUUGUGAAGGAGAAAUUUACAUUGAUGAAAAAGACACAAAGAGAGUUCCUUUGGAGGAACUGAGGAGUAAACUAGCCAUAAUUCCACAGGACCCAGUCCUGUUCACAGGGACAGUCAGGCAAGUUACUACUAUCAGAAUCCAUGAUUCUACAGGACCCAGUCCUGUUCACAGGGACAGUCAGGCAAGUUACUACUAUCAGAAUCCAUGAUUCUACAGAACCCAGUCCUGUUCACAGGGACAGUCAGGCAAGUUACUACUAUCAGAAUCCAUGAUUCUACACAACCCGGUCCUAUCAGACAAGUUAGUACCAUCAAAAUCCAUAAUUCCACAGGACCUGGUCCUGUUUACCGUGACUAUCAGGCAAGUUACUAUUAUUGAAAUCCACUGGGAGAUUAGAGCUGAAAAACAGUAGUUUCACUUUUAGAAAAUAGUAGUUGAAGAUCUGCCGAAGUCUGGACAGCUGGUGAUUCUGUAACAUUAAUUUUUUUUAAACAAACGCACAAAUAAGUUUCAUUGAUUUUAUUACAUGCCUGUAACAGUAAGAGAACUGGAAAAAAGAAGGGGAAAAAACAAGAAACAGUAAAAUGAAACAUUAGCUAAUCUCACAUUUUUUAACUUGCCAUGUUAAAAUCUUACUUUCUCUUUAUUCAAAAUAUUUCAAAGCGGUUUAUCAAAUUUAUUAUUGAGGUACAAAACCAGUGAAGUUCAACAUCGGCCAUAUUUGUUUAGGACCAGUAGUCGUGCACCCGGAUGUAGCAGUAAAAUGAGGCCAAGAAAACACAUUUUAUUGUUUGAUACAAUCUUGAUCCUCAAGGUGAAAUUCCUGAUGAGAAGCUAUGGGCAGCACUGGAGACUGUUCAGCUGAAAGAAUCUAUAGCAGAGCUUCCAGAUAAACUAGAAGACAUCUGAAUUUUGCAAGAGAAGAGGCUGUCAAUCGACUUCAAAAAGUGCCAUACUCAAUAGACACUAUAGAUGGCCAUGUUCCACCAAAACCCUGUGAUUGGGUAUUCCCGAAAGAGUAUGAAGAUAAAUUCAAAAAAAAAUUAAAGGUUGAUGAUGACCUAUAUAGGAGAGAAAACAACUUUCUAUUAAAACCACAUGGUCCAAUCUGGGAAAAACUUGUUGACAUGUACCAAUUACAGCAAGAUGCUUCUAAAUCAGCAUACCACAUACACAGAUACUGUUCUGAAUUCUCUUUUCUGACACAUUAUAGCUUUGCUACAUAUCGUCCUGAUGAUAACUGGAGGAAUGGUCCUGUUCUUCGUCAUGAAAUUCAACCAAUAAUUGAUAUAUCUCGUUUGCCGGACUUUCAUUACUUACCAUAUGAAGAAGCAGUUCAACUUGUUGAAACAAUGAGGGAGACAGAGGGCUUUUUGCCAGAAUUUGUUUAGAUACCUGACUUUUUUCUGCCAUCAAGGAACAUAAAAUACAUCCUUGAGAAUAGCCCAGAGGAGCUACAAUCAGAUAUACAACCCAUCUCACAAUUAAUUGGUGUCUCUGAGGAGGAAAUAUAUGCAUAUGUUAAAAAACUUGAGGACAAAGAGAAAGCAAAAGAAGACCGGGAGAGGGUGAUGCAACAAUUUAAAGAUUCGCCUCUUUUAAAAUUGACUGUGAAAGAAAUGAAACAAUUGCUCACUGAUCAUUUUAAAUAUAGGUGUCAUUCCUCAUUAAAACUCAAGGCGGACUUUUUAGUAUUGUUACAAGAACUCUUUACCAAAAACAAAAUGGAUGAUGCAAGAAUCCAUAAAAUUGUGAAAGACUUUAAAGAUAAAAGUUAAUGACCUAAAGCUAUGGCAUAAUGUCAUCUUUUAUAAAAGUGCAAACUAUAUUUAAUGCUUACAUUAACUGAUUAUUUUGUUUUAAUCUUGAUAUAUAGUAUUUAUGUGUAAAACAUUUAAAAGACAUCUUCUUUAAUGCUAUUGAUACUAAAUUGAAGCCAAAUGGAUAUUUAAAAUGAGCAGGUAGCCCUUUACCAAAAUUGUAAAUUUGAUGAUCCCAGGGGUGGGGGUUUUGGUAUUAGGGUGGGGCCAAAAUGGUCAGUGAUUAAAUCUGUUAACAAUUGAACAUUUUUAACUUCUUCUUGAUAACUACACCAUUACAAUUCUUUUAAAAUUUGGUAUGAAGCAUCUUUGGGACAAGGCUGACAUAAAUUGUAAAUUUCAGGACUCCUGCACCCUUGGGGGCCUUAGAGGUGGGGCAAAAAUUGACCAAUUUUCAAAAAUCUUCUUCUCUAGAACCCCACAUGUAUAAGAAAAACUAAAUACAUAGUGAUGUAGAGCAGGAAGGUCCUCUACCAAAAUUGUAAAUUUUAUGAUCCUCAGGGUAGGGGUUCUGACUCCAGGGUGGGGCCAAACUUGGUAUAUAUAGUGUAUAUGUUAAAUAAUAUCUUCUUUAAUGCUGUUGAUACUAAAAUGAUACUAAAUAGAUAUUUUGAAGGAGUAAGUAGUCCUUUACCAAAAUUGUAAAUUUCAUGAUCCUUGUGGGUAAGGGUUUGGUUCCAGGAUGGAGCCAAAAUUAUUAUAGUGAUUAUUGUCUUUAUCAUUUGAAAGACUUCUUGAAGUUUGCUGAUAUGGUAUAAAAACUAAAUACAUAUGUAGGAAAAGCAGAAAAGGAUGUACCAAAAUUGUGAAUUUUGCAACCCCAGGGUUUUUACUCUAGGGCAGGUCAAAAUUAGUCAUUUUGCGUUGAUGUUACAUAUAUUAUGCAAUGCCUUUCAUCAGCAUAGGUUCUUUUGAGAGCAUAUAAGUUUAAAGAACACAUCUUGUUUUAUACAUGUACUUUUGCUGAAUAUUAGAAUUUAGCUUAGAUGUUCAGAACAGGAAAUUUUUAGCAGCCCUUGGGACUAGUGAUACUUUUAACUAAUACUCAGGUGACCGAUAAGGCCUGUAGGCCUCUUGUUUAGAACAAAGAUGGAUACUGUCCAGAGAGUGGCAACAAUAAAGACUAAACAUUUA